UUACGGCCAUAUCAUGUUGAAACACCAGUUCUCGUACGGUCGCCGAAGUUAAGCAACGUCGAACCUGGUCAGUACCUAGAUGGGUGGCCGCAUGGAAAUAGCAAAUGUU